rnacentral:rRNA from 1 species
UACGGAGGGUCCAAGCGUUAUCCGGAAUCAUUGGGUUUAAAGGGUCCGUAGGCGGUUUUGUAAGUCAGUGGUGAAAGCCCAUCGCUCAACGGUGGAACGGCCAUUGAUACUGCAAGACUUGAAUUAUUGGGAAGUAACUAGAAUAUGUAGUGUAGCGGUGAAAUGCUUAGAGAUUACAUGGAAUACCAAUUGCGAAGGCAGGUUACUACCAAUAUAUUGACGCUGAUGGACGAAAAGCGUGGGGAGCCGAACG